rnacentral:rRNA from 1 species
UGCGCNCGACAGGGAGGGGGUGGGGAGACAACAGGAUUCGAUGGCAGUGCACUCCGUACCCGAUAAAGACCUCGACGUUAUUGUGUGGACUCAUUUUCGUAGCAACGAACGCUUUAAGCAUACCUCAUCGGGAGUGGGAGUCGCGAUGAUUAAGACUAAAACUCAAAGACGUGGGCCGGCACAAGCACAAGCGCAUGAUGAUGAGUAUUACUCAGCGGGCAGAACAAUAACAUUCCCUGACAUCGACAUGGCAGAAUCCAAAGAGGGAGUUAUUCAGUUCUGGAGAGAGAAAGACACACAGGCAUUGCAUGUCGUCAGGUCAGCUCGUGAGAUGAGAUGUUAAGUUAAGCAACGAACGCAGCGCCAGUCUUGUCUUUAGUCCAUUUAAAGAGCACUCUAAGGAGACUGCCGGUGACAAACCGGAGGAAGGUGGGGAUGACGUCAAGUCCUCAUGGCCCUUAUGGGUAGGGCUUCACACGUCAUACAAUGGUGCAUACAGAGGGUAUGCAAAGGGGGAGGCGGAGCUAAUUCCAAAAAAUCCGUCGUAGUUCGGAUUGGAGUCUGCAACUCGAGUCCGUGAAGUUGGAAUCGCUAGUAAUCGCGGAUCAGCAUGCCGCGGUGAAUACGUUCCCGGGUCUUGUACACACCGCCCGUCACACCAUGGGAGUGGGUUUUACCAGAAGUAGUUAGCCUAACCGAAAGGAGGCCGCUUACCACGGCAGGGUUCGCGACUGGGGUGAAGUCGUAACAAGGUAGCCGUAUGGGAACGUGCGGCUGGAUCACCUCCUU